rnacentral:rRNA from 1 species
CAGUCGUACCUUCGGGUAAUCAGCCUUUCGGGUGNNAUUCUGUGGAGUUUGAGGAGCUUAACACCUUCAUGCUUUGCAUAUUCGUGCUCUUAGGUGUACUUGCUCGUAUGGUUGGUUAACAUCAAUUUUGGUGGUCAUAAAAUGACUGGAGGAAUGUAGCUUCGAUCUCGUAUUGAAGUGUUAUAGCCUUCGGUAGAUGUGAUGAUCGAGAUUGAGGAUUGCAACGGAUACCCUUCGGGGCUACCUGUCUGAUCUCUGAUCGUUGCUCUGGUGCCGAAAGCUUGCUUACGGUUGUCAAAGUCGAUGGUCAAUAGGUUAGAAUGGGUUAAAUUCGUUAAGGAUGUUGACGUA